GCCGGCGGUGAUAGCACGUUGACUGCACCAGGUUCGGAUGGAUCACUGAAGCAACGUUGCGCGUGGUCAGUAUUCGGAUGGGUGACCUUAUGGGCGAUCGCGUGCUGUUGGCU
rfam:Asian citrus Psyllid, Diaphorina citri - Florida Strain, whole genome shotgun sequence.